rnacentral:rRNA from 1 species
GACGAACGCUGGCGGCGUGCUUAACACAUGCAAGUCGAACGGAAAGGCCAUGCUUUUGUGGGGUGCUCGAGUGGCGAACGGGUGAGUAACACGUGAGUAACCUGCCCUUGACUUUGGGAUAACUUCAGGAAACUGGGGCUAAUAACGGAUAGGAGCUCCUGCUGCAUGGUGGGGGUUGGAAAGUUUCGGCGGUUGGGGAUGGACUCGCGGCUUAUCAGCUUGUUGGUGGGGUAGUGGCUUACCAAGGCUUUGACGGGUAGCCGGCCUGAGAGGGUGACCGGCCACAUUGGGACUGAGAUACGGCCCAGACUCCUACGGGAGGCAGCAGUGGGGAAUAUUGCACAAUGGGCGGAAGCCUGAUGCAGCAACGCCGCGUGCGGGAUGACGGCCUUCGGGUUGUAAACCGCUUUCGCCUGUGACGAAGCGUGAGUGACGGUAAUGGGUAAAGAAGCACCGGCUAACUACGUG